UUCAGCACCUGCAUGGGGACAUGUGGAUUCUCUACCAGGAAACAUCAAGACUGAUUUGAUGAGAACAACCAGGAGAUCCAUGAGUUGGUCAAUUGCUAGUGCAAGGCCUUCUGUGCUUGGCAA